ACUAACUCUGUUAUAUUAUGUACACAUACAAAUGUGUAAUACCAACUUAAAGCUCAAUAAUAGUUGAUCGAUUUUUCCGCGAGAUAACGCUACCUAUAUAUAUAUAUAUUUUUUUUUAUGAAUUAUUUGUUGCAUUAAAAAUUUAUGUUUUUAUAUAUAUAUGCAUGUGUGUGUAUUUUUUUGUACAAAUAUUUAACAAUACACAUAUAAAGAAAUGUUUUCAUCUACGAGAUAUAAAUUUUUAUAUCGAAUUCUAAUUCAAUAUCGAAUCGAUAACAAUUAAAGAAACAAAAAAAAAAUAAAAAAAUAAGAAUACAUAGAAAUAAAAGAAUAACAUAAAAACUGCCUUAUCGACAGGUAGGAAACGCAAGUGUGCCAACUUCAAGACAGUUGUUAGUCGAGUUAAAAAUCGAUGCGAAGUAACGAGAGUAUAACAAGCGAUAUCGAAUUAAUCGUGACAAAUAAUCGUUUCGUGUAUAUUAAUUUUAUCAAUAAUAUUCAAACAAAGAUGAAAAAUUCAGAAAUAAUGAAUUUUCGAAUAGAUGAUCGUAUAAAGUGUGUGCGAUAAAGUGAAAUAAGAAAAUGAAUCUAAUUAAGCAACAGAAUAAUUUCCUUUUCCUGGAUCAUCGAAAACAACGGUGUCGUUAACGAUCCAACGAUUAUAACGUAUCUCGGAUAAAAUUUUAAAACCGAUUUGUUCGGCCAAUAAUUGAUUAUAACCCGACGUGAAGACACCCCCUAUUGCUGCCAACUUCAUAGUUCUUGCUGCUUGUAUGAAUGCACGUAAUAGUGCUGUUUCAACGCCUUUAUUUUUAUAGGUUGGAUGAACACAGAGUAUGUAUAUGCGAAAAUAAGAAUCUUGUUUAAAUUUAACAUAAACAUCGGAUUGAUUCGUGACUUCGUUGAUUAGAAGUAUUAUAUCUUGUAAGGAUCGUCCUUGUUGAUCCUCGUGAUAGCAACGCCAACAACUCUUCCAGAAUUUAUACUGAGUGCUACCAAACUCGUAGUAUCCCUCAUCCAAGUUUUUAUUAAAUUCAGAUAAGAAUUGACCGAUAUUUUGUCGUUUAAAAGUUCAAUGGAUUUACACAUUGGUUCCUCGCGAAAAUAAUGAUGCUGUAAGAUGGAUAGUAUAAGAAGUGAAGGGAUAGGUGAAGAUGAUGGAAGAGGGAGAAGAAGGAAGGGGAAUAAACGAUAUAAAAAGAUAAACUCAAUUUUGUUAACUUUGUGAAACAGCGAUGAGCAAUAUUAAAUAUGUUCGGAAUAUUAAAUAUAUUAAUACGAUAUAUAAAAAUAAAUAAAGAAAUAAGUAAAAAAUGUAUUGAUCGAACGAUUUCAAUUUUUUUUUUUUACUGGGAUAAUAUUUGUUAAUUUCGAUGUAAUUCUAGAUUUUGUUUUUAGACUAUGUUGUUGUUGUUUUUUUUUUUUUUUAUUAAUAUGAAUUUUUCAAUAUCGAAAGAUACGUUCGUAAUAGAGAUUCUAUUUCUCUCUCUCUCUCUCUCUCUCUCUUUCUCUUUCUCUCUCUCUCUUUUUUUUUUUAUUUAUUCUUUUUAAUUUCGUUCUACCUUCUUCAAAGUUGUUCCCGCAGUUAUGCGUGUAAUACGAGUACAGUUGGUUGUUCUUGCUCAUCGGUGUUUCAAAAGAUCCAAAUUAAAAUAUUGAUUAUAUUUAAACUUUCUGAACUUUUAUCAAACGACAUGCUUCGUCGUAUAACGAUUCGUGGAGAUCCUGUAUUUUGCAAUUAAUUGGCGAAUCCCAUUCGAGAGGCGCGAAUACUUUCUCUUUCUUCAUGUCAAAUAUUUCAUUGUCUUUGUCGUCGUACUCGUCCAUCGUUGAAAGAGAAAAUGAUCUGUAUUUAUUACGAGGGGAAAAAAGAAGAAAAAGAAGAAAAAAAAAAGAGGAAAGAAAUGAUUUUUCUAAUAUUUCUUUCUCUGUAUUUCUUGCUCUUAAUAAAUUUGCAAAUUCAAAAGCGCGUACGUAUAAAAACAAUUCCUACGUUUUUAAGUAAUAUAAAACCUGUGAAAUUGAUUCCUAAUCGUUCGAGAGAUCCGUCGCGUACUUCAUUUCGUUAAAUUAUAAAUGAAGGAAAAAAUUAAUAUCGUGUUGUAUCAAUCCAAUCGAAGUCUAUAAAAAAUUGUCGAAAGGAAGGAAAAAAAGAGAAAAAAGAAAAAAGAAAAAAAAAGAAAGGAAGAAGAAAGAUAAAAGACAGAAAAAAGAAAUGGGCGAAUCUAUCACCCUUAAAUUGUCUUCUCGAAGAAGAUCGACUUACGUUCAUCGUUUCGACGAUAAUUUUAUCUCUCUGAAAGAUUUAAAGGAAAGAGUUAAAUAUAAGAAAGAAGUCGCAGCGAUCGUUUGGCAAAGGAUGUCGAAUGGUUAUCGAAUCAUUAGCCUCGAGGAAGAUAGAUUUAAGGAAGCAAUAAAUUUUAUACGAGUACACACUCGCAAGAGUAAAGUUUAAUAAUGUACAAAAAAAUAUUAUUUUCUAGCUAGAUCAUAACAUUUAAUUAAUUUAUCUUAUAAAGGGAUCAAAGCGUAACCCUUUUUCUUUUUUGUGUGACACAAACAAAAUUUCACGAUUGAUUCAGUACGUGUUAUAAAUGAUUUUGUCGGUCCUUAGAUUCAGCGUUAUUGCAAGGUCGAGACAUUUUUUUUUUUUAUUUAUUUUUUUUCUAUUUUCUUCUCUUUUAUUUAUUUAUUUAUUUAUUUAUUUAUUUAUUUAAGCUAAUAUGUCAGACUCCUUUUUUAUUUUUUAUUGUUGUUUCUAAAAUAAGGAUGUAAGAUAUAAAAGUUUUUGAUGACGCUCAGUAUAACGAGCUGUGUGCAAUAUGCCUAAUCCGUUUUAAUCAAUAAAUGCCGCUUUGAAUGUCUUUGAUAAUAUAGAAAGAUUUCUUCGUGGAGGAACCAAUAAGUACAGCUAUUGAUUUGUUGGACGAUUUCAUGUCGGUGACAACUUCUAUUAAAAUGAUACAAAAGAAGUUGUUGGAAAUGCAAAGCUAUUGCGCCGUUCAAGAAGGUGAAAAUAAGAUCAUAGGGGUUAUCGUUGCGUCGAUUAAUUUUAUGGGAGAUCACGUACGAAAGGAAACACGAAUAAAAGAAAAUCAAGGAGAAGCAAUCUUCAAUAUAAUGAGUCUUAGAAGUUGUGUUUUUUCUAAAGCACGUCCUUACGAGAUAUUACAAAUCGAUAAAUAUUUUCGCAUACAUUUAUUGUUAGUACAUAUGAAUCAUCGGAAAAAAGGUAUUGGAACGGCUUUAAUUAAAUGUUGCAUCGAACGAGCAAGAACUCUUUUAGUACCAGCUUGCAUAGCGGGAUUUAGUUCCGUUAUUAGUCAACAUAUGGCACGUAAAUUGGGAUUUAAUUUACUCGCCGAAGUAAUGUACAAAGAUUUUAAGGUAUUCAACGACGAAAUGCAAUGUUUCGAAUAUCCGUUCGAAGAUUCUAUCGAUCAAAAUAAAUCAUUGGCUUGUAUGGCUCUAUCGAUCGCGUUACCAAUAGAUCAUUCACAACGAUCAGCAUCGAUAAUUUCAAAGAAGGAAAAUACAAAUGAGAAAAAGAAUCGAAAAAAAUCGAAAAGAAAAUGAUGAUCCUAUCAAGGGAUGUAAAAGUAAAAUAAUUUCAAAGUAACGACGAAAUAAAGAAAAGGAAAAGCAGGACAAUAAGAAAAGGGAAAAAGAAUAAAGAAAAAGAAAAUUCCUUUUCCUUUUUUCUUUUUUUCUUUUUGCCAAGUGAAUUUUCUUUUUACUUUUUGCAUUCUUCUUUUUUAUAAUUUCAAUUUAUUUUAUUUUAUUAUGCCAAUAUAUUUCUAAAAGGAGAAAUAUAGUUGUAAAUUUAUGACUAUAUUUCAAUGUCAUCGACUAAAACCAAAUAUUAAUUUAAUUAGCGAGAUAUCUCUUUUUCUUUCCUUUUUUUUUUCGUAUGAUCUUUGGCAUACACCUCGUAAUGUUAAAAAAAAAAAAAUUGCUGAUCGCUUCUUUCGACGAGCAUGAUAAAUAGAUUUUAAUCGUC